rnacentral:rRNA from 1 species
GUGAGGAAUAUUGGACAAUGGGCGCAAGCCUGAUCCAGCCAUGCCGCGUGCAGGAAGACGCAUCUAUGGUGUGUAAACUGCUUUUGUACGGGAAGAAACACUCCCUCGUGAGGGAGCUUGACGGUACCGUAAGAAUAAGGAUCGGCUAACUCCGUGCCAGCAGCCGCGGUAAUACGGAGGAUCCAAGCGUUAUCCGGAAUCAUUGGGUUUAAAGGGUCCGUAGGCGGUUUAAUAAGUCAGUGGUGAAAGCCCAUCGCUCAACGAUGGAACGGCCAUUGAUACUGUUAGACUUGAAUUACAAGGAAGUAACUAGAAUAUGUAGUGUAGCGGUGAAAUGCUUAGAUAUUACAUGGAAUACCAAUUGCGAAGGCAGGUUACUACUUGUGGUUUGACGCUGAUGGACGAAAGCGUGGGGAGCGAACAGGAUUAGAAACCCCUGUAGUCC